rnacentral:rRNA from 1 species
CGCUGGCGGCGUGCUUAACACAUGCAAGUCGAACGGUAAGGCCCUUCGGGGUACACGAGUGGCGAACGUGGGGGAUAACACGUGGGUGAUCUGCCCUGCACUUCGGGAUAAGCCUGGGAAACUGGGUCUAAUACCGGAUAGGACCAUGGACUUCACGGUUUGUGGUGGAAAGCUUUUGCGGUGUGGGAUGGGCCCGCGGCCUAUCAGCUUGUUGGUGGGGUAAUGGCCUACCAAGGCGACGACGGGUAGCCGGCCUGAGAGGGUGUCCGGCCACACUGGGACUGAGAUACGGCCCAGACUCCUACGGGAGGCAGCAGUGGGGAAUAUUGCACAAUGGGCGCAAGCCUGAUGCAGCGACGCCGCGUGAGGGAUGACGGCCUUCGGGUUGUAAACCUCUUUCAAUAGGGACGAAGCGCAAGUGACGGUACCUAUAGAAGAAGCACCGGCCAACUACGUG